rnacentral:sRNA from 1 species
AGGUUCUAAGCGCUGCUGGGCACCGUAAGGCCGCCGUGUGUACCUUCCAGCAGCUACGGGCUGGUGGAAGCGCUGCUCACAGUCAGUGUCGGUACGUCUUCGUCCGCCCUUACCCUCCUUAUCCUGCUCCAGGUAGCGGAGAUCCGCCUCCCGCCGCGCCCCCGCCACCGAGGCCCGGGUCAGAGGCUAGAGGCCGCCCGCCCCUGCGCGGCCCUUUCCCCUGAGCCCGCGGAGCCCGCCGCCCCGGGCCUCGGGGCGACGAUGCUGGAGUCCAUUCGCGUGACGGAAAAGCUUCACUGGCCUGAGCAAGAACUUGCUAAGAAGUCUAUUCUAAAUGCAGAAGAUUCAUUGAUCAUUGACAACAAAAGAAGCAUUUCACAUUUGUCCUCGGGAGUGCUAAAAGACAUUUUCACAACUGGAACCAGUAGUUACAAUGUCCUGCUACAGAGCAAGGAGGAAAAAAAGUAUCAUUCACAAAAACAGUCUUCCUCCACCUACUCCAAAAGAUGUAGAAAACCCAGCAAAUCUCCUAACACUUCUCGUAGCAAAGAUCCUCGCAGGAUGAAAGCCCUGGUGCCUGUGACAAGCAGUGGUACUUGGUACUGCCUGGAGAGGCGGCCUGCUGUUUUUGUCACUAGUUCAGUGUCAAGUACUGUAAAGUUUACACAUGAUAUCUCUGUUACAGGGAAUGGCAUAGUACUGCCACCUAAACCCAAAAGCAAGGUCAAGUGGUGCCAUUUCUCCACUCUUCCAAAGCCAAAGCCUCAGCUGUCUAGAAGCUUUGAAAAGGGAGAUGACUUUUCUGGGAAGAAAUUUUGUAUAUUGACUGCUAUAAAACCCACCAACUUAGAGAAAGAAAAACUGAGAUUCUUCAAAUCUGACUAUACCUACAAUCCUCAGUUUGAGUAUGCCAAUCCUGCUCUGCCAAGCGUAUUAGCUAAGCAUAGCCACGCAUCUGACCGAUUUCUUAAGCAGGUAAAAUGCCAUUUCAAUAGUGGUAGUUCAUUUUUAUGUACUAAAACAAUUAUCUGUGAUCUUAUAAGCAAAAACAAAGACAUUUAAAAAUAUUCAAAUUAUUUCUAUGUUAUGGUUAAUUCCCACUCAGGACAUGUAAAUGUGCGACAAGAUGAAUAUUACCUGUAUAUAAACUCCAUUGCAUUCAUCAAAAUUUAUAAUCUGUUAUAUAGACUCUUUGUGACAGGAAGCAAUUAUAUUAGGAAGACAGCUUCAGAUUCUGGUUCUAAGCUUUCAUGUGGGAGUUACAAACUUGUGGCCAAUUUGGCCGCCUACAGACAAGUGUUGGGUAGCCCACACUACGUUUUUGUUUUCUAAUUGAUUUCUUUGUUGUUUUUUGUUUUUUUCUGAGACAGAUUCUUGCUCUUUGCCCAGGUUGGAGUGUAGUGGCGCGAUCUUGGCUCACUGCAGCCUCUGCCUUCUGGGUUCAAGUGAUUCUUGUGUCUCAGCCUCCCGAGUAGCUGGGACUACAGGCACCCGCCACCAUACCCAGCU